UAAAAUGAACACCAUAUCUACCAUAUUAACAACAGGCCCUGUAUAUGGUAUCCCACCAAGCCUAAUCAAUGACUAUUAGUUGGCACUGGAUCGUAUUAUUCAGCAAUAAGGAUCAAAUUAUCAUACAAAAAUGACCGUCUCUGGCGAUAAUUACAAGUUGACAGCUCAGUAAUUAUAUACCUGUAUUGAUAGCAUAGAACCUGCAGCAAUAAAGGUUAGAAAAUGUCAAGUAAAAGGGUGCACAGAGUCAGUGAAACGGUCUGUUACAUCGAGCUUUUGGCGUGUGGUACACGGAACUGUGGGUAAUCCACUAGAAACAUCAAUACUGAUUGGUUGAUCAAAUGGCUGACGUCAUAGCGUCAAAAGCCGCUCGUUUGACCCUGACGUGAACUCCCACUAUAACUUGUCAUAUCUUCAUGUAGUGUAGGCCAUCGAAAGUAUAAAAAAACGAAACGAAAUAUAAAUCUGUAUUUUAAUCA